rnacentral:lncRNA from 1 species
UGUGUGUUUUCCUUAUCACAGAUGAAAAACGCUAUUUUUAACAAACAAAACAACUAGUAUUGAUGGUGAAGUGAACAUGGGCAAUAGUAAUCAUUCUUGGAUUGAAUUUUAUUUGUUUGCGCACAUCAGUGAAAAACAGGAGAGUAAAGGAUAAGAACGUUUAAAACCAUAUUGGUUGGUAUUAGACAACAUGAAUCAGGAAGAAGGAGGUAACAGAAUGACCUCUCGAGUCCUCCUUUUAUAUGGUCCUUUUUAAAUUCGCUUCCUCAAGAUUCAGCUGGAUCCUAUCCACUCCCACAUUGGAUUGGACUGGCCUUGAUCAAGUUCAAUGCCAAAGAAGUUACUAAAAGAACAACGACAAAAGGGAAGCUAUAACCAUGGAUUCAACAAGGUAAGAAAACAGAGCACAGUGAAAGCCUAAUACAUAAAUUAGCAUAUCUGGAGAGAGAGAAGAUUUUGCACUAGGAUAGGUACAUAUUCUACACCAAGGUCAAAUCAAGGAAAAGCUAAGAGAACCCAGUUUGAACGAUUAUAAACUACGAGAUUUAAAUGCUUCUUUUUUUCUUUUCAAGUACAGGAAGAUUCCCGGUAAACAAAUUUGUUCUUUCUGAGAUGAGAACUGUCUCAUUCUUUUCCUCGGGACUACUUUAUUUUCCAACCCAUGACACUCAUUGUUACAUCGUUCAAUCAGACAUCUCGAACCUUGUUGUAAACCCAAAAAUCUUUAAAAUGUAAAAAAGCGAAGCAAAGAUCUGACUCACCAUCAUUGUGAAGCUAUUGGAACCAGAGUCGUGAAG